GAUGAACGCUGGCGGCGUGCCUAAUACAUGCAAGUCGAGCGAACAGACGAGGAGCUUGCUCCUCUGACGUUAGCGGAGGACGUGUGAGUAACACGUGGAUCACCUACCUAUAAGUCUGGGAUAACUUCGAGAAACCGGCUCUAAUACCGGAUAACAUGCUGAACCGCAGUGUUCAUCAGUGAAAGACGGUCUUGCUGUCUCUUCUCGCGGGAUCCGGGCCGUAUUGGGUAGUUGGGAGGGUACCGGCCUACCAAGGCAACUAUGCGUUGGCGACGUGUGAGGCUGAUAGCCGACCCGGGAGCUGAGACACGGUCCAGAGGCCUACGGGAGGGAGCAGUAGGGAACCGUCCGCAAUGGGCGAGAGCCUGACGGAGCGGGGCCGCGUGAGUGACAGAGGUCUUCGGAUCGGAAAGCUCUGUUACUAGGGAAGAACAAAUGUGGAAGUAGACAAGGAGGGCGUGACGGUAACUAAUAAGAAAGCACCGGCUAACUACGUG
rnacentral:rRNA from 1 species